rnacentral:rRNA from 1 species
UACGUAGGUGGCAAGCGUUGUCCGGAAUUAUUGGGCGUAAAGCGCGCGCAGGCGGCUUCUUAAGUCUGAUGUGAAAGCCCACGGCUCAACCGUGGAGGGUCAUUGGAAACUGGGGAGCUUGAGUACAGAAGAGGAGAGUGGAAUUCCACGUGUAGCGGUGAAAUGCGUAGAGAUGUGGAGGAACACCAGUGGCGAAGGCGACUCUCUGGUCUGUAACUGACGCUGAGGAGCGAAAGCGUGGGGAGCGAACAGG